AUGCUCUUCCUCCUCCUCCAGCUCCUCGCCAUCACCACCCUCCCUUGCUGUGCCAACAACGCCACCCAACUAGUAUAUGACACGGAAGGCAACGUGCUAAGUAGCAAGCAAAAUUACUACAUCCUCCCUGCUAAACGUGCGAGCGGCGGGGGGCCUCGGAGCUUUCCUACUGGCCUGCGGUGUCUGCACUUUGUGUUCCAGGAGCGCAACGAGGCUGUCCUCGGCACCGCCCUGCGGUUCACGCCACUACCAGAACACGCUUCAGCCUGCGAGCCGAUUCGCUUGUCGAGCAACAUCUGGAUCGAGUUCCAUGAUUUUGAUAGUUUUUGCUCUGAGGGGCUAGAUUGGCACCUUACCAAUCAGGUACCGGAGUCGUCAUCAGGAGAGCCUAAACACGUGGCCGCCGGCAGUGAAGAGGGCCUAAGAUCGUUUGCGGUGUUCCGGGUUGAGAGGCAUGGCACAGGUCUCUCGGGAUAUAAGAUAGUUUCAUGUGUUGACAAGGGGCCAUGCAAAGAUUUAGGUUUGCAUGCUACUAAGGACAAGACGUGGCUGACCGUGAGCAAUAAGCCUUUUAUGGUUGUCUUCAGGAAAGAGAGGUUAUAG
rnacentral:rRNA from 1 species